UCCCUUUACAUAAUCUAAGACUUGAGUCCCGUUAAAGAGACUUUUGUCUUAGAAGACUUUCUUUUAGAGUACUUCCACUCUAUAUAUUUUAGCUUUUUUCAUUACAAUAUGCAAUUUCAAGCUCCAACCAUGGCUUCUUACAACUUCAAAAUCGAACAUUUCCUUUUUCCGAAGUCCCUAAGCCUCUUUUAUCUCUUAAUGAUCACCAAUUUCUUCUCAGUACAAAGCCCAGUUACCAGUGCUAUAUCUUUCAACUUCCCCAAUUUCACUUCUAGUGACUCCCGUAUAAAAUAUGACAGAGCUUUUGCUGAAGGCCAAGUCAUCCAACUCACCAACAACAAGGUCGUGAAGGGGUCUAUUGGUCGAGCCACGUAUGCCAGUCCCAUGCACCUGUGGGACAAGGCAUCUGGAAACCUCACAGAUUUCACUACCCAUUUUUCUUUUGUUAUUGACUCGCAAAAUAGUACUAAUUAUGGAGAUGGGCUUGCGUUCUUCCUAGCACCUCCCGCCACUGGUUCAACAGUUCCUAAUAAUGUCACAAUUGGUAGCUCUCUGGGUCUCACUAACGAUAACCAGGUACUAGACUCAACCGACAAUCCUUUUGUCGCUGUGGAGUUUGACAUCUAUCCAAACAAACCAUGGGAUCCGCCCGGACGGCCCGGCGUACAUCUAGGUAUUGAUAUAAACUCCAUGGAAUCUGUUGCUACUGUGUCAUGGGAGGGGUGGUGGAGUAAUACUUCUAUUACUCAAGGGCUAAUCAAUGAAGCUCGGAUUACUUAUAAUUCUUCUUCUCAUAAUUUGAGUCUUCUUCUCACUGCUUUUAUAAAAAAUUCUAUGGUAGAGCAGUCUCUUUCUUAUCAAGUUGAUUUGAGAGAUCACCUGCCUGAAUGGGUAACUUUUGGAUUCUCAGCCGCAACAGGAGAUUCUCCUGCAAUGCAUACCAUCUGCACAUGGAAUUUUACUUCAACUUCGGAAGAUACUAAUGUAACCAAACCAAUAGUGGCAACCAGUCCGAGCCCGAAUCCGGAUCCGGCCCCCAACCGAAAGAAAAACAACAGGUUUGGAUUAGCAAUGGGGAUGGGUGUUGGAGGGUCUUUUUUGUUUGGUGGGUUGGCUUUAAUUUUAUUUUACAUGUGGAAGAGGAGUAGGAGUCACACCAAAGAGGAUCUUGCCCUUAAUAGCUGCAUGGACGACGAAUUCCAAAGGGGAACAGGACCAAAGAGGUUCUCAUUUCAAGAAUUGGCUCAUGCCACGAAUAAUUUCAGUGAGGAAGAGAAGCUAGGCCAGGAUGGAUUUGGUGGGGUUUAUAGAGGAUUUUUAAGGGACUUAAACUCUUUCAUUGCCGUUAAGAGGGUGUCAAAAGGGUCUAAACAUAGGAUAAAAGAGUAUGCAUCAGAAGUUAAAAUCAUUAGUCGAUUGAGACAUAGGAAUUUGGUGCAACUCAUUGGUUGGUGCCAUGGAAGAGGAGAACUCUUAAUCGUCUAUGAGUUCAUGCCCAAUGGAAGUUUAGAUUCAUAUCUUUUUACAGAAGAAAGCUUAUUGAUAUGGGCAACGAGGUACAAAGUUGUUCAAGGAUUAGCGUCAGCAUUGCUUUACUUGCACGAGGAAUGGGAACAGUGCGUGGUACAUAGGGAUAUAAAAUCAAGCAACAUUAUGCUUGAUUCAAACUUCAAUGCUAAGCUUGGAGAUUUUGGGCUAGCUAGGCUUGUAGACCAUGUGAAAGGAUCACAAACCACUGUUUUGGCUGACACCAUGGGCUACAUGGCUCCUGAAUGUGUCACAACCGGUAAUGCUAUCAAGGAGUCAGAUGUCUAUAGUUUUGGAAUUGUUGCUUUGGAGAUUGCUUGUGGAAGAAAACCUAUCAAGACCAAUGCCCCUCAAGAUCAAGUAGUCUUGGUAGAGUGGGUUCGGGAGCUCUAUGGAAUAGGAAAGGUACUUGAAGCAGCUGACCCAAGGUUGGGUGGAGAUUUUGAUGAGCACGGAAUGGAGCGCUUGAUGAUUGUUGGGCUUUGGUGUGCUCAUCCUGAUCAAAACCUUAGGCCUUCAAUAAGGGAAACAAUUCAUGUUCUCAAUUUUGAGACUCCAUUGCCUAUUCUCUCAUCAUAUAUGCCAGGGCCAACACAUCUUGCUCCAGUAGUGAAUAGACAAGCAAUGCCACUUUCUAUUUCCAGUGGUUCUAGUAACUAUGAGGGAGGACAGAAUCCAUAUUCAAGCCAUAGUCACACCAAUUCUUCAUUGUCUACCUCAUACGAUGUAGAUCCUCCAGCCGCAUCACUUUUGCGUACAUGCUAAAUUGGGACUGAGGACGGGGAAUACCAAGAGUACCAAGACUGUUCAGAUCUUUAUUUAGGUCAUAAAUUUUAUUUUAAGAUAUAAUUUUUUAUAUCUUAAAAUCUGAGGCAUUAUAACGGUGCUCCCAAGAUUCACUUUUGGUAUUCCAUUUCGAAGGAAACCAAUUUUGAAUUUCAAAAAAAAAAAAUUGAGAAAUUGCCUGCUAGCUGGACCAUACAGUACGUGAAUGCAUGCCAAAGCCAGAAGCGUUUACAACAUUACAACUUAGCCGGCCCCCCGAACAGUGGGUGCUAAUGGUAUGACCUGGAUGAGUUGGGGUCGUUUGGGGGCUCCAAAGAGGAAAGGUGGGAUGGGCUUUAGAGACUUGGAGAUUUUCAACCGGGCCCUGCUUGCAAAGCAAGGCUGGAGAUUGCUCAAAUUCCCUAAGUCCUUGGUUGCUAGAGUGAUGAAAGCCAAGUACUACCCGGAGGGGGAUUUCCUGACGGCACAACUUGGUCGACGCCCUUCUUUCGCAUGGAGGAGCAUUUUCCAAGCUAGAGGGGUAGUGGAAGAAGGGAUGUUUAUGGAGGAUAGGGGACGGUGAAUCUGUGUGGAUUUGGAAAGACAAGUGGCUUUUGCCCCCGUUAACCACUUUGUUCCAUUCCCCUCAUCACAGAUUGGAGGCUAACUCUAAGGUGAGUGCCCUCAUUGACAGAACCUCUGGGUGGUGGAAUACUCAGCUCCUACAAGCUAACUUUAGGGAGGAUGAAAUUGCCCAGAUCUGCUGCAUCUGUCCAAGCUCGUCCCAAGCUCCUGACACUCUGAUCUGGAAGGGUACUUCUCAUGGCCAGUUUACAGUUAGAAGUGCUUACUUUCUGGAGCGGAACCAGCAAAGUCAAUCCAGGGGAGAGAGCUCUGGCGCGAGGGAGGAGGAAGCUUUUUGGCAAGAGUUAUGGAAAGUGGAAGCUCCGGCUGUGGUAAAAAAAAAAUUUGUGGAAAGUGAGUAAUGACCUUCUCCCAACAAAACUGAACCUUUUCUAUAAGAAGGUAGUUCCAAAGCUUGGUUGUCCUAUUUGUUUGCAAGGUAGGGAGGAUGUUUUCCACAUCCUCUGGAAGUGCAUUUCUUAUAUGGCUGUGUGGCAAGGCUGUGGAAAGAAAAUCCAGAAGAUGACCCUCGGGCAAGUUGAUGGAAAGGGGCUGAUUCAAUAUCUGUUGAGAAAACUUGAUGGGGAGGAUUUGCUUAUGGCUCUGGUGGUGCUCCGUCUGAUAUGGUUGAGAAGGAAUGCAUUUGUUUUUGAUAGGGAGUUCUCCCCCCCCCCCCCCC